AGCAAACGCUGGCGGCAGGCCUAACACAUGCAAGUCGAGCGCCCCGCAAGGGGAGCGGCAGACGGGAGAGUAACACGUGGGAACGUACCCUUCAGUUCGGAAUAACCCAGGGAAACUUGGGCUAAUACCGGAUACGUCCGUAAGGAGAAAGAUUUAUCGCUGAAGGAUCGGCCCGCGUCCGAUUAGCUAGUUGGUGAGGUAACGGCUCACCAAGGCGACGAUCGGUAGCUGGUCUGAGAGGAUGAUCAGCCUCACUGGGACUGAGACACGGCCCAGACUCCUACGGGAUGCAGCAGUGGGGAAUAUUGGACAAUGGGCGCAAGCCUGAUCCAGCCAUGCCGCGUGAAUGAUGACGGCCCUCGGGUUGUAAAGUCCUUUCUGCGGGGAAGAUAAUGACGGUACCCGCAGAAGAAGCCCCGGCUAACUUCGUGCCAGCCGCCGCCGUAAUAC
rnacentral:rRNA from 1 species